GUCCGGAUAGCUCAGUCGGUGGAGCGCUGCCAUGACGCGGCAGAGGUCAGCGGUUCGAUUCCGCUUCCGGGCACC
rnacentral:tRNA from 1 species